AUGAGACACAUUUUCCUUUACAGUUUAUUCUCUGAGUCCUCAGUGAAUCCAAGGGAAAGAAUGAUGAGAUCCCUGAGUGUCUUACUAGUGAUUCUGUGGCUUCACAUGAACUGGGUGAACAGCCAACAAAUGGAGGUGGAGCAGCAUCCUGAGUCCCUCAGUGUUCCAGAGGAAUACACUGUCUCUCUCAACUGCACUUAUAAGAACAGUGGUUCUCAGAACUUCAUGUGGUACAGACAGUAUUCUGGGAAGGGACCUGAGCUGCUGAUGUCUACAUACUCCAAUGGUGAUAAACACGAGGGAAGAUUCACAGUGCAUCUCAACAGAGCCAGCCUUUAUCUUUCCCUGCACAUUAGAGGCUCCCAGUUCAGUGACUCGGCCACCUACCUCUGUGCAGUGAGUGCACAGUGCUCCCCCAACACCUGCAGUCUGCACACAAACCUAUGGGGGCCCCAGUAA